UACGUAGGGUGCAAGCGUUGUCCGGAAUUAUUGGGCGUAAAGAGCUCGUAGGUGGCCUGUCGCGUCGGCUGUGAAAACUCGGGGCUCAACUCCGAGCUUGCAGUCGAUACGGGCAGGCUAGAGUUCGGCAGGGGAGACUGGAAUUCCUGGUGUAGCGGUGGAAUGCGCAGAUAUCAGGAGGAACACCGGUGGCGAAGGCGGGUCUCUGGGCCAUAACUGACGCUGAGGAGCGAAAGCGUGGGGAGCGAACAGG
rnacentral:rRNA from 1 species